rnacentral:rRNA from 1 species
UGGGGAAUAUUGGACAAUGGGGGCAACCCUGAUCCAGCAAUACCACGUGUGUGAAGAAGGCCUUAGGGUUGUAAAGCACUUUAGUUAGGGAGGAAAGUUGUUAGGUUAAGAGCUAGACAAUUUGACGUUACCUAAAGAAUAAGCACCGGCUAACUCCGUGCCAGCAGCCGCGGUAAUACGGAGGGUGCGAGCGUUAAUCGGAAUUACUGGGCGUAAAGGGUUCGUAGGUGGUUAGAUAAGUCAGAUGUGAAAGCCCUGGGCUCAACCUGGGAACUGCAUUUGAUACUGUUUAACUAGAGUUUACUAGAGGAUUGGGGAAUUUCCGGUGUAGCGGUGAAAUGCGUAGAGAU